UAGUUGAAGUGUACCUAUGAUGAAAAUUACAGGCCUCUCAUAUUUUUAAGUGGGAGAACUUGCACAAUUGGUGGCUGACUAAAUACUUUUUUGCCCCACUGUAUCAGCUGCUUAUCGAAGCCGAGUUCAAUGAAAUGGAGUCAAUUUAGCCAACCAGCUCACAGGAAGGACAGGAAGAGGAGUUGUCUGGUUGUUGUUUUGACCUCCCUCAUUGUACCUUUCUUUUCACACUCGUCAGUUCCGUUUAAAUUCAGUCAAUUCAUAAAGUAAUUUGUUUAUAAAGUCUUAGGAUAGCAUUCAUUAUUAGUGUUACAUAGAUUUCUGAAUUGAAACUCAUACGGAGUUUUCACAGAUGCUCUUGGUCUCUUACGAGACUAAAGGUCAAUAUAUUUCUUUCAUUUAAAACCACUUGAAAACCAGGGUGUUGAAACUUUUUGUGAAGUUCUGUUCCAUCGACUGGUCCGUGACGUCCAGGGGCCAUUUGUUUGUUUAGCUGUGUUAUGGCUACAUAUUAUUCCCUUUUUCUCAGAGACAGAGACACACACACACCUCUUCGUACCUCAGAUCUCCAGUGCCCUGCCCUCUCUCUCUUUAUGGCCAUGUCUGAAGUUCCCCUACUACGUCUAGGCUUUAUGAGUAGUCCCCGUAUCGGUCUGCAGUUGUGCCCAAAAUACAUGCGCUUGCUGUUCUCUUACAGAUUACAGGCUACACAUUCAUUUAACAAAACAAAAUAAACGCACACACCUCUUUCAAUAGUUUUAUUUUUUUUAAACAUUUUUACAACUCACAUACCUGUCAUGUUCUUUCCUGUACUUGAAUACUUAUUAAAUUAUGUUUUCAUAGUCA